rnacentral:rRNA from 1 species
AUUGAACGCUGGCGGCAUGCUUUACACAUGCAAGUCGAGCGGCAGCGCGGGGGCAACCCUGGCGGCGAGUGGCGAACGGGUGAGUAAUGCAUCGGAACGUAUCCUGUAAUGGGGGAUAACGUAGCGAAAGUUACGCUAAUACCGCAUACGCUCGAGAGAGGAAAGUGGGGGAUCGCAAGACCUCACGUUAUAGGAGCGGCCGAUGUCCGAUUAGCUAGUUGGUGGGGUAAAGGCCUACCAAGGCGACGAUCGGUAGCUGGUCUGAGAGGAUGAUCAGCCACACUGGGACUGAGACACGGCCCAGACUCCUGCGGGAGGCAGCAGUGGGGAAUUUUGGACAAUGGGGGCAACCCUGAUCCAGCCAUGCCGCGUGAGUGAAGAAGGCCUUAGGGUUGUAAAGCUCUUUUGGUCGGGAAGAAAGUGCCCUGCUUAAUACGCGGGGUAUUUGACGGUACCGGCAGAAUAAGCACCGGCUAACUACGUG